ensembl:lncRNA
AGACCAAAAAAUGAAUUAUUCCCUUAUGAUAAUGCUUGAAGUGUAGUAAACAUUUGGAAAAACAAAUAAACAAACAAAACAUCCCCUGUAGAAAUCUAAGGAUAUCUGGCCUCAUUACCAUUCCUGAUUUUGUGCUGUCUGUGUUGUCAAGAGGUAAAUACAAAGCAUGUUUAUGUUCUCAUUUGCCCUUCUCUAUUCAUUCCAAUUCUUCCAGAUGCUGGUAGCAUUUAAAGAGGGAAUUGUCUAUUACAGUACCUUCUCAUUAUGUCUUAUUUCACAUCUGUAAUUUUUUAAUUUUACAAAAGAAUUGCUUUCCUAGUGCUCUACAGAUUUCCUGCACUUCAUAAUUAUAGAAGGGGUUUUAAAGGAGUUAAUUUAGAAACAAAUCUGUAUGCACCAAACAUAGGUUGUCCUGAAAGGCUGGAAAACAAUCAAGGCAGAAAACUCGGCAGAACAGGGAAAGCAAUCAGAAAUGAAAGAUGUUCUUCAGGUGGCACAGAAAAUUCUCCUGGUCAAGCGUCCAGACAAGGAAAAUAAAGGAAAGCAUAAAUUCUGGCACAGUAAAUGUAAACACUAAUAAGCGAAGUCCUCCCCCCCCCACCACAAACUGGGGGAGAUAAUAAAAGCAUAAAAACAAUGUUUUCCAUAGCAAAGAAGAAGGCCCAGCAAACAAUUUUCAAGUGCUAGGAAAUAACUGAAGUGUAAAAAGAGCAGUCAAGGAUCAUAAAACCACAGCAGAAAAGCUAGAUGAAUUCUCUGUGUUGAUAGUUGCUUUAGAGGAGGACGGACAAAUUCCCAUACAGGAGGUUUUCUAUACAGGGAACAAGUUGUAGAAAGAAAUAACUAGGUGUCUCACUGAAGAGAAGUUGCCAUUACAGUCUUGCAGGGAUGUGAGCUGGAAUCUGUGCUGAACAACACGCUUAGAAAUCAUCUGGAAGAAGGGGUGGCAAAGUCUGCAGACGAUACAAAACCAGUCAGAACUCCACCCACGAUUUGUACAAGUGCAGCUGCAAGAGCAGCCCGGUUACGUACUUCACUACGGUGCAGCCAAGCAGGAGGUGUAAUGAUGUUUCACCAGAAGCCAGUGUAUAUGCCAGCAGAAAUGAGCAAGAGGACCCUGAGGCGUGCCCAUAGUACAGCUCAAAAGCAGCUUAUGCGAUGGCCUCGUAAUAUUACAGGCACCCUUUGCCAGAUGAAGGCUGCAGUUGCACUGACAUAUACUGCAGAUGGAAAAUAAACAUCUGCCUCAAUCAAGAGAGAAGACCAAAGACAAGGUUGACGAAUAUUAUCUGGCAUGACUAUCUUUGCAGGAAAGCAUAUAAAUGCUACAGGACCAAAACCACUGGCAUCGUCUGGUGUUGUCCUUAUGUGGUUACUGACCAUGAAGAGAGAUGAUUAGUAUGCACUCUCCAAGGAGGAGUAGUGCAGAUGCUCAGAAUGAUAUGAUUCCAACUCACUAGUAUGUGUUUUGCUAUAGCCCUACUACGCUAGCAACAGAGCAGUUUGAUAUAUUUUUUUCUCGGUGGUUCAAUGACAUUUUGUAUCCUCAAAUGUUCUUUUGUCUUUUCGGGGGGGAAGAAGAGGAGGCU